rnacentral:rRNA from 1 species
UACAGAGGUCUCAAGCGUUGUUCGGAUUCAUUGGGCGUAAAGGGUGUGUAGGCGGCGCUGUUAGUCUUGUGUAAAAUUCCCCGGCUCAACCGGGGGCGCGCACGGGAAACGGCAGUGCUUGAGGACGGGAGGGGUCUCUGGAACUCAUGGUGUAGCGGUGAAAUGCGUUGAUAUCAUGGGGAACACCGAAAGCGAAGGCAAGAGACUGGCCCGUUCCUGACGCUGAAACACGAAAGCGUGGGUCGCGAAAGGG